ensembl:lncRNA
AGAUUUUAUCAUUGUAGCACUUUAAAACUUCAGGAUUCUAUAGGAUGUGUAAGGUAAUUAAUUCUUUUAUUUAUUUGCCUGAAACUGAUCAUAUGUACAAGGACGUAUAGAGCAAAGAGGAGAAGAAACGAUGAGAAUAAAGAAAGUCAAAGGCAGGGGGAAAGAGAGAAAAGAGGGGGCGAGGAAGGAGUGGGACUCCCAAAGGUGGCGUCCCGGAUGCUGAGAGGCCUCAGAGGACCCUGGAAUGAUUGUCUGUGACCUUCUCGCUCUCCUUGCACUGUUCAAGGGCAUAGACUGAGUGUCUGUGUGCCUUUAAGCACUUAAGCAUUACAUUUUAACAGCAUGCGCCUAUUUGUCACUUGAACUCAAGAAUCGAAGUCUGUAGUGUGGUUUUUGGCUCUAAUGAAUUGUCUGACAAUUUACUUCAGCUGUAUUUAAGAGACAAGAAACUCUUCCUUUUUGAAGAUCCCCUGUGUUUUUGAACAGAUCUUGUUUAUUUUGGUAAACCAACAUCUCAUGUAUAUUUCAGCAGCUGUAUCUAGAGGCAGAUGACUCAACCAGCGAGGAGGGGCAGAGAAAAACACAUAUUAAAACACAGAGUGGAACAGAGGAGCCCCAGAUUAGUCCUCAUUAUGCAGCACUAAUCAUCUUUAAUCUGCUCUUAAUCCAAUAUCUUUACCUUACUGUAUUAAUGAGCCAUACGUCAAGACCUGAUUAGACUGCAGAAUUCAAGAGAUUUUAGGAGAAAGAAAAGAAGAAUAGGGGCAGCAAGAAGGACAAUGUAGGAGACAAAUCAUACAGAGUAGCAUACAGCUCUAGUCAUUGUCUGCUGACCCUCUUGACUGGCAGAGUGACUCUGCCAUAGCCGGCUGUCUGAGCUUCACUGUGUUUGGUAAAUGGAUUAUCCCUUCCUGGGAACUUAAAACUCUCAGGCUCUGUUUUAAUUGUGCUUAGUGCCACAGCUAAGCACAAAGCAGUAAGUUUCAGGAAGACCUUGGCUCCAGGUGCACUUGUGGUUCACGUAGGUACAGCAACGCGGUGUGAAAACACGUGUUAGGAGGAAAUUAUUGUUAUCCAAGUGGUUAUAAAAGGAUUUCGGAGUUUGUGCUCUCGCCUGUUUUCCUCUCUCUUUCCACCUCUUCAUCACCACUCCUCAGUGAAUAUCAAAAAAACACAGGAAAAGCAAAAUGCCAGGUUUUGGUUUUGCUUCCAUUGAUGAUCCGUUGCACUAUAAAGUGUUAAAGAGUUGUAAGUUUAAAAUGCACAAAUGGAUAUUCCAUAUCACAGUCGGUCCAGUCAUGGGUAGGGGCUCACUUUCCAGUUUAAUGCAUUUAUUUUCCAGUCCAGUAUGCAUUCUUCUAGUAACUACACUAUAUUGUGUAGGGGACGUUACUUUUUUUUUUUUUAAGUAAAAUAUUACUUAUUUCUCUCUGUGAAAUGAUUUCUCUGCCUCCUCAGAUGUGAGAUCAUGACAAGAGUACUGGUCCCAGCACAGAACGCCGUGGAACUCCAUGCCUAACGUUUUUGUUUGAAGAACACUUCCCAUUUACAUGCCCAAACUGGAAUCUGUCAGAUAUGUUUUAAAUCAUCAAAGGGCAAUUCCUUUUGUACCAAUGGCAUGUUCUAAUCUCUGCAGAAAAAAAUAGUGAUCAGUGGCUGUUCACGAAUGCUGUACUGAGUUCUAGUAGUACAAGCACAAUGGUGAGUCUGCUGUCAGAAAUCAUCAAAAGAUCACUCAUAACCUUCACUAGCUACGAUGCACUCUAAAUCCUGACCCAAGCGCUUCGGUAAAACCAUUCAUCUGAAGAUCAGUGCUCACCUGUUAUGAUUACUCUUUUAAAUUCUUUAAAUCACAAUUAUUACAACUAGCUAUUACUAAAGGAAUAGCUCAUUGUAAUACCUCUAUUCAAAGUCAGAGGUAAAGCUUUCUCAUAAAAAGUUAAUGUGAUAACUUCAGAGCAAAUAUAAUAGUUCCACCUUGAGGCCAGAAAAUCUCAGUUAUAGCAGUUGCUGCAUACAGGCAAUUACAACUUUAAUGCUAGUUUAUUUUUUGUAAUGUGUCUAGUAAUGAAGGUAAUUACAUUCAUAUAAACAAGUAUAGUCAUAAGUCUUUGACAUGUUCCUCAUAGUUUUUGUUUGUUGUGUCCAAAAAGUGAUGAAAAUCACAGACUAAAUUAAAUUAUUAUCUGUUUUUAGCCUUAUCUUUUUUAUAGCCAUAUAAUCUUGCUAAAUUAGUUGAGAGAUAACAGCCU